GCACAGACAGCACCACUGUGCUGGGCUGACAGCCUCCUAGCAGUGCGGCAGUAGCGGCAGCUUCGAGCGGGGAGCCUGCACACAUCUCUCCUUCACCGCUGACAGCCCGUCCAUGGUCACGCCCCCCGGACGGGGACGCGCUUUCACAGCUCUCCAGCGGCAGAGGUCGCUGCAGGGAGCUGAUGCGGUCCGGCGUUUCGGAAACGUGUCCGGUUUUCACCGAUUCUCGUCUCGGUGUCAUCUAAUGUCUGGACUUCACAUAAAGAAGAUGAUUUGCCCAGCUACAUAUGCUUGGAGGUGUUAUUUUGUAAGACACCGGUGGUUUAAGGCAACAAGUUUUCUCCCAUGGAAUUCCAUUGCCUGGACAAGAAAGGGGCCACUGGCUGUAGACUUAAAAUCUUACUCUACCACCGAGGAUCUAGCCAGUCCGCCAGUGACAAAGAAAAAAGAACAUCCUAACGCCAAGAAAGUCAUUGGACAUGUUGGAAGAAAGAUCCCAUACAACAUUAUCCAGGUUCUAAAUGCUGAUGGGGAGGACAUGGGGACGAUGCAUAGAAAGGAUGUAAUGCACAUGGUGGAAACGCAGGAACUGAAACUGAUUUCUGUUUCUGAAAAAGCAGAUCCUCCGCUGUACAGGCUGCUCACAGGGAAACAGCUUUAUGAAGAGCAACUGAAACUCAGGGAGAAGCAGAAAUUGUCCACUAGCUCUGGUCCCAUCUAUACCAAGGAAUUGUCUUUCCUUGCGAGCAUUUCACAACAUGAUUUAGAUGUGAAAAUGAAACAGGUCGCUCAGUGGAUAGAAAAGAAACGUCAUGUAAAAAUUACUGUUUUGAAUAGUCGCGGAGGCUCGGGACCAGACAAGGUGGUGGUUUUGCAGCAGAUAAUCGAGAACUUGCAGGAUGUUGCCGCCUGUUUAUCGCAGCCAAAGGAAAGGAAAGAUGGUAGAGCCAUGGUGUGUACUCUGCGGCCGUGCUCUGAGAAGGAGCUGCAGAAACACCGCAAGGAUCUGAAGGAGAAAAAGCAGAAUAACCUCCCUUCUCCAGAGAAGACAGAAAACCAGGGCACAAUGCCACCCGAUGCAUAGCGGCCCUGUGUCUGGAACUGACUGAAGCUUAUUAAAGAGAAAUACUGUUUCUACUAUGUUUUUCUUUCUCUAAAGGUGAUGGUGGUUAUGGCUGCUACUCUUGGCUCCUUACUCCAUUGUCCCAACCUGAUUCUCCUGCUGAACACAAUUAUAAUAAUGCACAUAAGUCCACGCGGAAUGUGAUAGAAAGAUGUUUUGGGGUGCUGAAAUCUAGGUUUCGGUGUCUGGAUAAGUCUGCAGGGCUUUUGUUGUAUAGUCCCUCAAAGGUGACUAGGAUUGUGUUCUGCUGCUGUUUUCUUCAUAACAUGUGUUUGCGCCAACAUCUGCCACAUGUUGGUGAUGAAGAACACAGUCAGCAAAUAGGUGAGUUAGAAACAUCUGGCGACAGUGUGAGUACAGAUGUAGGGAGGCAGGUAAGGCAAGAAGUGAUUUUGCAUUAUUUUACCGGUAAGUCUUAUUUAUUCAUAAUUAACCUUGGCUAACACCAAUUCUAAAAUGUUUGAUAGGUCUGAAUUCUGUUUGUGAUGCGUUAUUGUUUGUUAUUUCUCAUGUUGUUUACAGUUAGGCAAUAAAAUGUGAAACUUACACUGUCAGU